rnacentral:rRNA from 1 species
GGGUCAGUAGGUUGGUCGUGCCACCGGUACGUACUGGUCUCACUGAUUCCUCCUUCCUGAAGAACCGUAAUGCCAUUAAUUUGGUGUUGCGGGGAAACAGGACUGUUACUUUGAAAAAAUUAGAGUGUUUAAAGCAAGCUAACGCUUGAAUACAUUAGCAUGGAAUAAUGAAAUAGGACGAUCGAUCCUAUUUUGUUAGUUUCUAGGAUUGACGCA